GAAAAGAGAAAUGAGGGAGAGGAAUGAAGAAAGAAGAAGGGUAAUUAAGAGGUAGCAGAAAAUAUGAAAAGUGAAUAGGAAGAGAAGGAAUGAAGGAAGGGAAAAGAAUGAGACAAAGGAAGUAGGGAAAGGAAGGAAAGGGAAUGAAGAAAAAGGAGGAAAAAGAUAGGGAAGGAGAGAGAAAAGCGUGAAGGUGGGUGAAAAAAAGAAGAAAGGAGAAUGAAGGAAGAAAAAGGGGUAAGGAAAAGACGAAACAAGAAGAAAAGGAAGAGGAAAAACGAUAAGGAAAGAGGGAGGUGGAGGGAGAGAAAGAAAGAGGUGAAGGUGGGUGGGUCUUUCCAUAUGAAGGAGAGAGAAGAAGAAUGCAAGGGAAAGGCGAGGAGAGUUAGUUCACCUCGCAGUCACCAGGCGAGUUAGACUGCACGAAGAAAAGGUCGAUGAUACAAGUUUUUCAAUGACGAGACAGAGACAGAGACAGGCCACAGACACACUCACGCAGGCAGAGACAUGACCGGGGAGGUGAUGAAAGUGGCGUGACAGUAACAGGUAAAAAGAGUUAGGUCCAUAUUUUAAAACGCGUCGGGUUCCAGUUACGACUAUUUUCUAAGGGCACAGAGAAGAGGUUUUAAUGGGUAUUUUUGCCUCGUUCAUGGCGCAGCUGUCAUGUAAAACUAUCACUAGGAUCACAAAACAGUCCAUGAAAAGCCCAGCAACUUCUACGACGAGAGGCUUUUCAAAUAUGCGAACUGAGGAUUACGUUGUUUAAAAUUAAGGACCUAAGUAUUUUGACGAUGAACGAGAACGCUAAAAGGAGUCUGUCUUCGUGGUUUAAAUCAGUUACACCCUCAGAAUCGUUACCUUGGUCCUUGCUCUAGUUUAAAGUUGACCACAAGCCUCAUAAGAAAAUGUGUGUAUACGAGUGUAUGUAUGUGUUAAGUACUGGCUGAUCACGUCUAGUUCUUGUGGGUGUGUAGGUGUGAGCUUAAGCGGAUGGAGAGGUCAGUCAGAGCAAGUGAGAGAGAGAAGAGAGAGGAGAGAGAGCGAGAGG